GCGCCUGUAGCUCAGCUGGACAGAGCAACGGACUUCUAAUCCGUGGGUCGCAGGUUCGAAUCCUGCCAGGCGUACCA
rnacentral:tRNA from 2 species